rnacentral:lncRNA from 1 species
AUCGUUAGGGGCUUGGCUAAAACAUUAUCAGAGUUUGCAACGGAAGGCGUAACUGAAAUAAUCAGUGUUUACAGCGGAAUGCAUAACUGAGAUACAUGUAUGAAGACAUGUAUCCUUUCUGAGCCUACUUUAAGUUCGACAAAAACUCCACUCAGCAACAACACUUCAUCGCCCAUCACAGCUCAACCUGCACAAACAUAAACAUCGAAGGGCUAAGUACAAGAGUACUUAGUGGGCAGUUGCCAAGCAUAUAACAUAACAUCAUUAACAAUUUCACAAUAUCGCAUAAGAGGCAUGAGUUUCUUUCAUAUCCUUUGCUCAUUAAACAUUUCCAAAUUCAUAAAUAGCAUAAGGGCAUUCUUCAUCAUCAAUCUUCAUUAACAAACAUCGUGUCGUGGAGAAGGCCUUCCCCAACGAACACGGGCAUCGCGCCGUGAGGGGGAGCCUCCCUCAGCGGUCACGGCAUCGUACUAUUGAGGGAGGCCUCCCCCAAUAGACGCUGUAACACUGGCAUACUGGCAUACUGGCAUACUGGCAUCGCGCCGCGAGAGAGGCCUCUCUCAGCGGACACGGGCAUCGCGCCGUGAGGAAGGCCCUCCUCAGCGGACACGGCAUCGUACUGUUGAGGGAGGCCUCCCCCAACAGACGCAAGCAUCAAACAUAAGCAUAAAUUUAUCAGCGUAAAGCAUUCAAGCGUAAAUAAUAUAAACAGCAUAGCGUAAAUCAUUUAACGUGCAGCAUAAUAAAGCUUAACUCAUUUAAGCGUAAUAAAGCAUAUCAUACUUGAAGAUCCAAUUUGCAUUUUAAAGCAUAACACUUGCAUAGCAUUUUAUUUACGCGUAAGAAAUUGCCCACCUGAUAGCAAAGUUUUGCUAAGGUACUCUAACUCCUUGUGUAGUUCUUACUCUCGCGCUUGACCUGUAAUUGCUUGUUGUUGGUGGCUGUUUGUUGCUAUUGAAUUUAAUGAGGAGAUAGCUGUUCGAAGUUUGGCAGCAGGAAUCAACGUACUUACUCUGAAUUCUUGAAGAAUGAAUGAUUAGUAUGUUGGCUGAAUGAUAAAGC